GGCUGGCUGCUGCUGGUCAGUGCGCAGGACAGGCAUGGAUGCAAACGUGGGUAGUAGUCAUUUGGACUCAGAAACCACAAUUGCUACAGGCAAACAAGCUCUAAACUGCGGGCAGAAGAACCGAGGUAUGUUUGGCCAGACAGGUUUGAACCAGGAUGUUUUGGCUGCUUGCAACCUCACUGGACCAGGACUGAACACAUACACAUCCUGCUGAGUGAUCCUGCCCACUAAGCUGUCAAUGGAUUCAUAAUAUACGGAAAGGAUGUUACUUCACUGCAACAGCAGCAUCACGGUGGGAAGAGUGGCAAAUAUGUCUCUACGCUGGGAACUGAAGGAGGAUGCUCUCCCACGAUGCCUGAUCCUGAUAACUGGGACGAGAAUUUAAGGAAGGAGUCCUGUUAAUGUGGCCAUGUACCUGUCAGAUGGACACACCAGUCGGCUGGACGCUUGUUCCUGGACUCCACUGCUGGGCCACAAGUGCUUCACAAAGGCGUCAGUCCUUGAGUCACAGAAUGAGAUCCUCUCUCUCUGGCUGUCCCUGCAUAUGGGAAGAAGUGUGUGAGUGUGUGUGAUAAAACAGCUUGUUAACACGUACACCACUGCCUUGGCCAGGACUCCCUAAUUAUUCCCUUCCAACGAAAGGCCAAGACGAGGAGAGAGUAGUGAUAAACA